rnacentral:rRNA from 1 species
CACGUAGGGCGCAAGCGUUGUCCGGAAUUAUUGGGCGUAAAGAGCUCGUAGGCGGUCUGUCGCGUCUGCUGUGAAAACUCAGGGCUUAACCCUGAGCUUGCAGUGGGUACGGGCAGACUAGAGUGCGGUAGGGGAGACUGGAAUUCCUGGUGUAGCGGUGAAAUGCGCAGAUAUCAGGAGGAACACCGGUGGCGAAGGCGGGUCUCUGGGCCGUAACUGACGCUGGAGGAGCGGAAAAGCAUGGGGAGCGAACAGG